rnacentral:rRNA from 1 species
UACAGAGGUCUCAAGCGUUGUUCGGAUUCAUUGGGCGUAAAGGGUGCGUAGGUGGGUUGGUAAGUCAGUGGUGAAAUCCCCGAGCUUAACUUGGGAACUGCCAUUGAUACUAUCAGUCUUGAAUACCGUGGAGGUCAGCGGAAUAUGUCAUGUAGCGGUGAAAUGCUUAGAUAUGACAUAGAACACCAAUUGCGAAGGCAGCUGGCUACACGAAUAUUGACACUCAGGCACGAAAGCGUGGGGAUCAAACAGG